rnacentral:rRNA from 1 species
GUGCUUAACACAUAUGCAAGUCGAACGGAGUCUUUUGUGAAGUUUUCGGAUGGAACUGGAAGACUGAGUGGCGGACGGUGAGUAACGCGUGGGUAACCUGGCCUCAUACAGGGGGAUAACAGUUGGAAACGGCUGCUAAUACCGCAUAAGCGCACGGAACCGCAUGAUUCUGUGUGAAAAACUCCGGUGGUAUGAGAUGGACCCGCGUCUGAUUAGCUAGUUGAGGGGUAACGGCCCACCAAGGCGACGAUCAGUAGCCGGCCUGAGAGGGUGACCGGCCACAUUGGGACUGAGACACGGCCCAAACUCCUACGGGAGGCAGCAGUGGGGAAUAUUGCACAAUGGGGGAAACCCUGAUGCAGCGACGCCGCGUGACUGAAGAAGUAUUUCGGUAUGUAAAGGUCUAUCAGCAAGGAAGAAGAAAGACGGUACUUGACUAAGAAGCCCCGGCUAACUACGUGCC